AACGAACGCUGGCGGCAUGCCUAACACAUGCAAGUCGAACGAGACCUUCGGGUCUAGUGGCGCACGGGUGCGUAACGCGUGGGAACCUGCCCUUAGGUUCGGAAUAACUCCCCGAAAGGGGUGCUAAUACCGGAUAAUGUCUUCGGACCAAAGAUUUAUCGCCUUUGGAUGGGCCCGCGUUGGAUUAGCUAGUUGGUAGGGUAAAAGCCUACCAAGGCGACGAUCCAUAGCUGGUCUGAGAGGAUGAUCAGCCACACUGGGAAUGAGACACGGCCCAGACUCCCACGGGAGGGAGGAGUGGGGAAUAUUGGACAAGGGGCGAAAGCCUGAUCCAGCAAUGCCGGGGGAGUGAUGAAGGGCUUAGGGAUGUAAAGCUCUUUUACCCGGGAUGAUAAUGACAGUAACGGGAGAAUAAGCUCCGGCUAACUCCGUG
rnacentral:rRNA from 1 species